GAUGAACGCUAGCUACAGGCUUAACACAUGCAAGUCGAGGGGCAGCGGGAUUGAAGCUUGCUUCAAUUGCCGGCGACCGGCGCACGGGUGAGUAACGCGUAUCCAACCUUCCGUACACUCAGGGAUAGCCUUUCGAAAGAAAGAUUAAUACCUGAUGGUAUGAUGAGAUUGCAUGAUAUCAUCAUUAAAGAUUUAUCGGUGUACGAUGGGGAUGCGUUCCAUUAGGUAGUAGGCGGGGUAACGCCCACCUAGCCGACGAUGGAUAGGGGUUCUGAGAGGAAGGUCCCCCACAUUGGAACUGAGACACGGUCCAAACUCCUACGGGAGGCAGCAGUGAGGAAUAUUGGUCAAUGGACGAGAGUCUGAACCAGCCAAGUAGCGUGAAGGAUGAAGGUCCUACGGAUUGUAAACUUCUUUUAAAGGGAAUAAACCCUCCACGUGUGGGAGCUUGUAUGUACCUUAUGAAUAAGCAUCGGCUAACUCCGUGCCAGCAGCCG
rnacentral:rRNA from 1 species